CGUUAGUACGGAAAUCUCCAAGAUUAAGGUCAAAGUUGUUGGUACUCAAUUAAAGGUCUUUUCACAAAGAAUACAUAUAAUAAGUAUAAAAGUCCUGGUAUCUACUUUUCAAAAGAUAUGGCCAAAGUAUAAUUUGGAAUUUUUGAGUAAAAGUUGGUCAAACUCCAAGGUCAAGGUCAAAAGGUCAAAUUUGGUGGUACCCAAAGAAAGGUCUUAUCACAAGGAAUACACAUAUGAAAUAUGAAAAUCAUAGCUCCACUAAAUCAAAAGUUAUGGGCAAGGUUAAAGUUUUUGUGACGGACAGACUGACGGACAGACGGACAGACAGACGGACAGACGAAUGAGAUUUAAUGUCCCCUCGCUUUCGCGAAAGCGGGGGAC